CCUACGGGGGGCAGCAGUAGGGAAUAUUGCUCAAUGGGGGCAACCCUGAAGCAGCAACGCCGCGUGGAGGAUGAAGGUUUUCGGAUUGUAAACUCCUUUUGUUAGAGAAGAUAAUGACGGUAUCUAACGAAUAAGCACCGGCUAACUCCGUGCCAGCAGCCGCGGUAAUACGGAGGGUGCAAGCGUUACUCGGAAUCACUGGGCGUAAAGGGCGCGUAGGCGGGUUAGCAAGUCAGAUGUGAAAUCCUAUGGCUUAACCAUAGAACUGCAUUUGAAACUGUUAUUCUAGAGUAUGGGAGAGGUAGGUGGAAUUCUUGGUGUAGGGGUAAAAUCCGUAGAGAUCAAGAGGAAUACUCAUUGCGAAGGCGACCUGCUAGAACAUAACUGACGCUGAUGCGCGAAAGCGUGGGGAGCAAACAGGAUUAGAUACCCUAGUAGUC
rnacentral:rRNA from 1 species